GCUCGCCGGAUUCUGGAAAUUUUCCGGCCACCGACGCUUUCGAUCAAGAUAUCUCGAGCUGUAGAGCUUCGUUUUGAGUGAUUCUUGAACCAGUGAGUUCGUCUUUAAGUUCUGAACAAGUCUCCUGAAGGAAUCGAAGCGAAAGGAGGACAUUUUUACGUUGAUCGGAGCUUCGCCAGUUUCUGCAAAUUCUCGCCGGUUUCUGGAAAAAUUCCGGCCACCUCGACUGUUUUAGGUGAUCGAUGGAUUUAUUUGGCGGACGAUUCGUGAGAUUGUUAAUUGAGCUGUUAAGAAGACGCAGCUGGAUCAGAGCGGAUAAUCCUACAGGACUGGAGAAUUCAGGAAGGUGAUCGAACCGUGUAGAGUAGCUGCUUUGUAAUACUCUGAUUUUCAGUUGUGAGGUUUGUUAUGCUCAUUAGAGCUUUACAAUUUACUUUGUACGAGUGAGUUGUAAUAAUUAACUCGAGGUCUUCGAGUUUUGAAUUUGAGCGUGAGUGGCGAGGUUGUUUCUGAGAAAAAAAAAAAUUCAGAACGUUUAUUUGUUUAAGUUGUUUAAUUCAU